GCAUAAUUGUGGCUUUAAAGACGGCCUCUGUUUCAAGCUGUCGCUUUAAGAUGAGCCUGCGUCCUAUUAGCUAGUUGGAGAGGUAAGAGCUCCCCAAGGCGAUGAUAGGUAGGCGGCUUUGACGAGUGGUCGCCCACACUGGGAUUGAGAUACGGCCCAGACUCCUACGGGAGGCAGCAGUCGAGAAUAGUCUACAAUGGACGAAAGUCUGAUAGUGCGACGCCGCGUGGAUGAAGAAGCGCUUCGGUGUGUAAAAUCCUUUUCUUUGUGAGCAAUGCCAUUUAGGUUAAUAGCUUGAGUGGAGAGAUAUUAGCAGA
rnacentral:rRNA from 1 species